GGUUAAGCGACUAAGCGUACACGGUGGAUGCCUAGGCAAUCAGAGGCGAUGAAGGACGUGCUAAUCUGCGAUAAGCGUCGGUAAGGUGAUAUGAACCGUUACAACCGACGAUUUCCGAAUGGGGAAACCCAGUGCAAUUCGUUGCACUAUCGUUUGAUGAAUACAUAGUCAAACGAAGCGAACCGGGGGAACUGAAACAUCUCAGUAC
rnacentral:rRNA from 1 species